UUAUAAAACUUGCCCUAGAAUGGCGAAUUCGCGGACGGCUCAUUACAACAGAGAUAAUUUGCUUGAUUUAGAUUCCCAAGUGGAUAACUUUGGUAAUUCUGGAGCUAAUACAUGCCUCGAUGCCCUGACCGUGAGGAAAGGGUGCAGUUAUUAGAUCAAAACCAAACGGGCUCGCCCGUGUUUUGUUGACUCUGAAUCACCAUUCCGAUCGCAUGGUCUCGUACCGGCGACGUAUCAUUUCAAGACUCUGCCCUAUCAACUUCCGAUGCGAGGUCAUGUGCCUCCCAUGGUUGUGACGGGUAACGGAGAAUAAGGGUUCGACUCCGGAGAGGGAGCCUGAGAAACGGCUACCACAUCCAAGGAAGGCAGCAGGCGCGCAAAUUACCCACUCUCAGCACGAGGAGGUAGUGAAUAGAAAUAACAAAGUAGAUGUCUUUGAUGUCUACUAUUGCGAAUGGGUACAAUUUAAA
rnacentral:rRNA from 1 species